CGGGACGGGUGAGUAACGCGUGGGCAACCUGCCUUACACAGGGGGAUAACACUUAGAAAUAGGUGCUAAUACCGCAUAAGCGCACAGCUUUGCAUGAAGCAGUGUGAAAAACUCCGGUGGUGUAAGAUGGACCCGCGUCUGAUUAGCUGGUUGGCAGGGUAAAGGCCUACCAAGGCGACGAUCAGUAGCCGGCCUGAGAGGGUGAACGGCCACAUUGGGACUGAGACACGGCCCAGACUCCUACGGGAGGCAGCAG
rnacentral:rRNA from 1 species